rnacentral:rRNA from 1 species
CAUGCAAGUCGCACGGAAGCUUCGGCUUCAGUGGCGGACGGGUGAGUAACGCGUAGGUAUCUGUCCACGGGUGGGGGAUAACUCCGGGAAACUGGAGCUAAUACCGCAUAAUACCUGAGGGUCAAAGGCGCAAGUCGCCUGUGGAGGAGCCUGCGUUCGAUUAGCUUGUUGGUGGGGUAAUGGCCUACCAAGGCGAUGAUCGAUAGCUGGUCUGAGAGGAUGAUCAGCCACACUGGGACUGAGACACGGCCCAGACUCCUACGGGAGGCAGCAGUGGGGAAUAUUGGACAAUGGGGGCAACCCUGAUCCAGCAAUGCCGCGUGUGUGAAGAAGGUCUUCGGAUUGUAAAGCACUUUCGACGGGGACGAUGAUGACGGUACCCGUAGAAGAAGCCCCGGCUAACUUC